UCCCCUGUAGCUCAAUUGGCAGAGCGUUCGGCUGUUAACCGAAGGGUUGAAGGUUCGAGUCCUUCCGGGGGAG
rnacentral:tRNA from 1 species